AUUGAACGCUGGCGGCAAGCCUAACACAUGCAAGUCGAACGAGUGGCGGACGGGUGAGUAAUGUCUGGGAAACUGCCUGAUGGAGGGGGAUAACUACUGGAAACGGUAGCUAAUACCGCAUACCAUCGGAUGUGCCCAGAUGGGAUUAGCUAGUAGGUGGGGUAAAGGCUAACCUAGGCGACGAUCCCUAGCUGGUCUGAGAGGUGGACCAGCAAAAUGGGAACUGAGACACGGUCCAGACUCUUACGGGAGGAAGCAGUGGGGAAUAUUGCACAAGGGGCGCAGGCUUGAUGCAGCCAGGCCGCGUGUAUGAAGAAGGCUUUCGGGUUGUAAAGUACUUUCAUCGGGGAGGCGUUACCGGCAGAAGAAGCACCGGCUAACUCCGUGCCAGCAGCCGCGGUAAUAC
rnacentral:rRNA from 1 species